GACGAACGCUGACGGCGUGCUUAACACAUGCAAGUCGAAGGGAGUGGGGAACGGGUGAGUAACACGUGAGUAAGCUGCCCUUUUAUUUGGGAUAAGCCUGGGCAACUGGGUCUAAUACUGGAUGGAUUGGGUUGGGCUAGCGGCUUGUCGGCUGGUUGGUGGGGUGAUGGCUUAACAAGGCUUUGACGGGUAGCCGGCCUGAGAGGGUAGUCGGGCACUCUGACACUGUGAAACCGCCCACGCGCGGACGGGGUGCAGCAGUUGGGGAUAUUGCACAAAGGACGAAAGUCCGAUGCAGCGUCGGCGUAUGAGGGAUGAGGGCCUUCGAGUUGUUAACUCCGUGCGCCCGCGGAGCGGUAGUGAGUAAAUAAGCGCCGGCUAACUACGUGCCAGCAGCCGCGGUAAUUC
rnacentral:rRNA from 1 species